GCCGCGUGAGGGACGACGGCCCCCGGGUUGUAAACCUCUUUUAGUAGGGAAGAAGCGAAAGGACGGUACCUGCAGAAAAAGCACCGGCUAACUACGUGCCAGCAGCCGCGGUAAUACGUAGGGUGCAAGCGUUGUCCGGAAUUAUUGGGCGUAAAGAGUUGUAGGCGGUUUGUCGCGUCUGCUGUGAAAACUGGAGGCUCAACCUCCAGCCUGCAGUGGGUACGGGCAGACUAGAGUGCGGUAGGGGAGACUGGAACUCCUGGUGUAGCGGUGGAAUGCGCAGAUAUCAGGAGGAACACCGAUGGCGAAGGCAGAUCUCUGGGCCGUAACUGACGCUGAGGAGCGAAAGCAUGGGGAGCGAACAGGAUUAGAUACCCUGGUAGUCCAUGCCGUAAACGUUGGGAACUAGAUGUAGGGGCCAUUCCACGGCUUCUGUGUCGCAGCUAACGCAUUAAGUUCCCCGCCUGGGGAGUACGGCCGCAAGGCUAAAACUCAAAGGAAUUGACGGGGGCCCGCACAAGCGGCGGAGCAUGCGGAUUAAUUCGAUGCAACGCGAAGAACCUUACCAAGGCUUGACAUAUACGAGAACGGGCCAGAAAUGGUCAACUCUUUGGA
rnacentral:rRNA from 1 species